rnacentral:rRNA from 1 species
UCCCUGAUGUUAGCGGCGGACGGGUGAGUAACACGUGGGUAACCUGCCUGUAAGACUGGGAUAACUCCGGGAAACCGGGGCUAAUACCGGAUGGUUGUUUGAACCGCAUGGUUCAAACAUAAAAGGUGGCUUCGGCUACCACUUACAGAUGGACCCGCGGCGCAUUAGCUAGUUGGUGAGGUAACGGCUCACCAAGGCGACGAUGCGUAGCCGACCUGAGAGGGUGAUCGGCCACACUGGGACUGAGACACGGCCCAGACUCCUACGGGAGGCAGCAGUAGGGAAUCUUCCGCAAUGGACGAAAGUCUGACGGAGCAACGCCGCGUGAGUGAUGAAGGUUUUCGGAUCGUAAAGCUCUGUUGUUAGGGAAGAACAAGUACCGUUCGAAUAGGGCGGUACCUUGACGGUACCUAACCAGAAAGCCACGGCUAACUACGUGCCAGCAGCCGCGGUAAUACGUAGGUGGCAAGCGUUGUCCGGAAUUAUUGGGCGUAAAGGGCUCGCAGGCGGUUUCUUAAGUCUGAUGUGAAAGCCCCCGGCUCAACCGGGGAGGGUCAUUGGAAACUGGGGAACUUGAGUGCAGAAGAGGAGAGUGGAAUUCCACGUGUAGCGGUGAAAUGCGUAGAGAUGUGGAGGAACACCAGUGGCGAAGGCGACUCUCUGGUCUGUAACUGACGCUGAGGAGCGAAAGCGUGGGGAGCGAACAGGAUUAGAUACCCAGGUAGUCCACGCCGUAAACGAUGUCGACUAGCCGUUGGGAUCCUUGAGAUCUUAGUGGCGCAGCUAACGCAUUAAGUCGAC